CAAAGGAAAUCGAAAAUCCCAAACACCAAACCCCAAAACAGCCCACGCCACUUCACUUGUCUCUUAGUCUGAGCGCGCUCCUCCCCAAACCACCGCCGCCGCCGCCCUCUGCUCCUCCCCAAUCGAAUCCAGCCGCCGGCGACGGGCGACCUCCUCUCCCCCACCCCCAUGCCCACCCCGGCGACCUUCCUCCCUCCCUCCUCGCGCGGGAAACCCUAGCCCCUUUCUUCCGCUGGUUGUUCCACCCAUGGAUAUGGAUGGGGCGACAGAGGUGGCCACCUGUUCCGGCCACGAACGCCGCCGGAUCCGCACCCACCCACGGAGGUUCUUCACUAGCAUCGCCAUGGAGGUCCACCCCCUUCUCUUCUCUCAGCGGGGCAGGGGCGUCGCACAUGGGGGAGCUCUCUGCUGCUGUUGCAGCGGGCCUCGACGACGGCGAGGAAGGGGUCGUCUUCUCUGACCCACGGCCUGCAGAUUCUAGACCCCAACCGAUGUUUGGUGGAUGCUUUGGAGGUUUGAAGACAAGGCUUUCCAGGAGGGAUACAUGCCUUUUGAUGGCUACCUCAGGAGCGCUUCUUCCAGCGUGUCCUGCACACCAUGGUCAACAGUGCGCAGCCGCAUGUUCUAUUUCUUCAGACUUGAGUAACACUCAGUUAGAGCUGCAUCUAUUAAUUCGACUUGAAAAUUUUUGUGUCUUUUAAUGACCAGCACACCCCCAGGCACGCAGACCCACUCACACACACACAACUUGACACACACCGAUGCCGUCGCUUAACAGUUUACGCCUCGUCCAUAUAUGGCAUGACACGUGUCAUAGUUUGUUCCAGGAGCUUGUGAUGGUAGUUGCUUCACUGUUUGUGCAAUGAAUCAUCAAACUGUGAGAAAUUCAGAGACUUUCUUUUUCUUCAGACUUGAGUAACAUUCAGUUACAGCUGCGUCUUUUAAUUCGACUCAAAAAAAAUUGUCUUUUAAUAACCAGCACACCUCCAGGCAUGCAGGCCUGCUCACAUACACACACACACACACACACCGGCGUCGUCCCUCACAGUUUAGAUCUUGUCCAUAUAUAGCAUGAGACGUGACGUAGUUAGUUCCAGUAGCUUGUGGUGCCAUUUGCUUCUAGUUUGUGCUUGUGACGCUCUCCUGGUUAAUUCCAGCCGUGGUAGCUAGUUACUGCUGCUCCGACCUUGAACCUCUCUAUGUUCGGUUUCGUGUUUGUUCUAGCUCGAUUCUGUUUUUUUCUUCUACUCUCGCUUUCCGAUUUUAAUAUGUUCGAGCAGAUUCCAGUACUUAUGUGGUGUUGACACGUCACUGGUAGAGGGGCCUGAUAGAACCGAGCUUAUCUCAUUUUUGUCAUUUACGUGCAUUUGAUGUCUGUAUCUUCAUAAGUAUUGAUGUACCUUCAGAUAGGAAAACACAUUCAGAUCCUAGUUUUGGCCCUAUAAUACUACCUACAUUUCUAGUUGCAGAUUGGAAAUUGAAAUUCAGAUAUGAGAAAUGUAUGGGUCUUCAAUUCUUGAAUGUCACAUAUUUAGGUGUCUCUUCUUUCGGUCCAGCCAACUACGUGAAUGAACUUAUUCUGCUCUUGGAACUGGACUUGUUUCGUAGCUGUGAUCUCUGGCUUGCAGAUACCUUGUCACAAUGAAAGUGCAUUCAGAUUUGUUUUGUAUCUAGUCUUGACCAUGUAUAUCUCUUGGCAUCCCUGAUGCAGGCCAUGGGGCACACCAAAUUGACUUUUUUCACAGGUACUGCCUCAUCGGAUAUACGGCGACUGUGGCACCAGGGGCCCCAUGGAGGUGGCGCUGGAACCCUAGACGCUGCUGCUCUUUCCCGAGUCCCCUCCUCCACGUGCGGCUCGCAGGUCCGGAUUACAUGGCCGAGAAGCUUGGUGACUACAAGAGCGUCGCCCUGUAGCUCUGCAAGCAUUCAAGCACCACCUUGGCCGGGCUGCGGGUGCCUAUGAUUUGAAUCCCAGGCUUGCACAAUUCCUGAAAUCAUCAAAGGAUUACCUACUGGCUUCGCAGAUAAUAGAAACAUUUUUACCAGCGCCCCAACAUGACUGGACCCUCUCCGACCUUGAUGAGACGUUGGCCUCCAGCAUCAUCGGCCUUGAGGACUGGUGUUGAUCAAUUGGCUGUUUGGUGGUCCAGAUUACAUGAUGAAGAAGCUCGUCAUCGACAAAAUCGUCAGCUUGUAGCUCCGCGUCCUCCUCUGCAAGCACUCAAACGCCACCAUGGCCGGGCUACGGGUGCAUAUGAUUUGAAUCCCCGGUAAAGACCGGUUCUUUUGUUUGUCUCUAGUCUUGGCCAUGUAUAUAUGUCUCUUGCAAGUGUGCUAUUCGUUCAAUUGGAAGAAGGCUUCCAGCUUGUUCUAUCUCUGGUCCGAUGGUUACCAAAAUUCAAGGCUUACAAAUACUGUUGUUUUGUUCUGAA